UACGUGGGGACCGAGCGUUGUCCGGAUUCAUUGGGCGUAAAGAGCUCGUAGGCGGCCACUCAAGUCGAAUGUGAAACCUCGAGGCUUAACCUCGAGCCUGCAUUCGAUACUGGGCGGCUAGAGUCUGGUAGGGGGAUCUGGAAUUCCUGGUGUAGCGGUGGAAUGCGUAGAUAUCGGAAGGAACACCGGUGGCGAAAGCGGCGCGCUGGACCUCUUCUGACGCUGAGGCGCGAAAGCCAGGGGAGCGAACGGG
rnacentral:rRNA from 1 species